rnacentral:lncRNA from 1 species
UUGGGAGUGUUAUCAAAGACAAACUGUAUUUCCUUAGUUUUGUUUAGGACCAGCCCAGAAUGCAAUCUUUCCUGUGUGGAAUGGAUGAGAUGAGAGAUGGAUGGGCCCAGCCUUAGAAGCAAGAUCUAGACCUAUAAGUAUAGUCAACAGAAUGGAGAGGGAAGAACCCAGACUUCAGGAACCCAAUGUAGAGUCCUGCAUGACCCCUUGUUCACUAUCAAACUGACUUCCACAUACAGGAGCACCAAAGGCACAGGAAUGGAUGCCAAUAGACUCAUUAGCACCUCCUCAAUAUCACCUCAGUCCACUUAACUGAGAAACAGCUGUUGAAGAUGGCAAGAGCCAAAAUAAAACCCAGUUCUCAACCAAAU